AAGGAAUUACUGGGGAAGUUGGUGGUAGAGGGAGGCUAUUGACAUGUCACAGCAAGAUGCUCAAAAAUGUAGAGCACAUGGAGAAGAUUGCCAUGCUGGCUUUCCAUCCAGUUAAGAUGCACAGCUGCUAUGAGAAGGUGGUGAACCUGAGCCUUGAGGGUCUUGCAGCAACAGUUUGACGUGAGCAGCCCGUCAGUGUUUGUCCAAAGGGCCCAGAUCCCCAUGAGAGAGAUGUUUGAGCAGAUCCUUCAUCAGAGUCUCGAGUCUCAGGGUACAGAGGAGCUGUGUAAGAUCAUCCAGCACUGCCAGGACAGAGUCAUUAAGCACAUGGAGAAGAUUGCCAUGCUGGCUUUCCAUCCAGUUAAGAUGCACAGCUGCUAUGAGAAGGUGGUGAACCUGAGCCUUGAGGGUCUUGCAGCAACAGUUUGACGUGAGCAGCCCGUCAGUGUUUGUCCAAAGGGCCCAGAUCCCCAUGAGAGAGAUGUUUGAGCAGAUCCUUCAUCAGAGUCUCGAGUCUCAGGGUACAGAGGAGCUGUGUAAGAUCAUCCAGCACUGCCAGGACAGAGUCAUUAAGGUAAUACACAAAGAAAACAGGCUUGUGCAUCAAAUUCUUGCAUAACAUCUACAUUAAUAUCUAAUAAUAUUACAUCUGGCAUACUCCAGCCCUGGGAGUGAAACUUUUGGUCUGGCCUUGUUUUAGUGUUAAUGAAAAUUCAGGUUCACCUUUAUCAAUUUAUUAAUUUUUUAACAAAGAGUCCAGGAUACCGGGCAAUAUCCCAGCUUAAUCCCUUCUGUGCAUGGUCCUCUGAUAUUUUCAAGCCUCA